rnacentral:rRNA from 1 species
GAUGAACGCUGGCGGCGUGCUUAACACAUGCAAGACGAACGAUGAAGCCCAGCUUGCUGGGUGGAUUAGUGGCGAACGGGUGAGUAACACGUGAGUAACCUGCCCUUAACUCUGGGAUAAGCCUGGGAAACUGGGUCUAAUACCGGAUAGGAGCGUCCACCGCAUGGUGGGUGUUGGAAAGAUUUAUCGGUUUUGGAUGGACUCGCGGCCUAUCAGCUUGUUGGUGAGGUAAUGGCUCACCAAGGCGACGACGGGUAGCCGGCCUGAGAGGGUGACCGGCCACACUGGGACUGAGACACGGCCCAGACUCCUACGGGAGGCAGCAGUGGGGAAUAUUGCACAAUGGGCGCAAGCCUGAUGCAGCGACGCCGCGUGAGGGAUGACGGCCUUCGGGUUGUAAACCUCUUUCAGUAGGGAAGAAGCGAAAGUGACGGUACCUGCAGAAGAAGCACCGGCUAACUACGU